rnacentral:rRNA from 1 species
GUCGGAUCCCGCCGCUGCAGAGUUUGAUCCUGGCUCAGGAUAAGUCGUAACAAGGUAA